AAGUGGGAGUGACCACUUGUCGUUGCUCCAUAAAGAUGGCGGGGUUCGGGGUCGCUUCAGCUCUUCCCGCUUCGUUCUAAAGUCUUCGGCCACAGGCCCUCGCGCGCACGGCUCUGCCCACGAGGUAUGACCAGAGGCAAAGCGGCCCGCGUGACCGGAUGCCUCGCGUGAACCGGACGGCGGUGUUGUCGCUGCUCAUCGUUAGCAGCUGCGUGUUCCUGCUGUUCCAGCUGCAUUACUACCGGAAGUACGUCACCAAGCAGCAGGGGGGGCCGUUACUGAGCCCGGUGCAUCACCUGACCAACCGCGCUGUACAAUGGCAGGUGCUGAAGAAGUUCUUGGCCUUGGCCCACCAUUUCCACCUGCCGCUGUUCCUCGCUGACACUUUGGCGCUCUCGCUCCUGUCCCAGCAUGCUUUGCGUCAGCGUGACCGGGUGGUCCAGGAGCCACAAUGCAGUGUCCUCUGCACCGACCGUCCAGUGUUGGCGUUUGGCGUGCAUGCCAGCUCGUGGGAGAGCACUCCUGAAUUUGUGGCGGCUGCUCAGACCAAAGGCUUUGAGCUGCUGGAGCUGCGAGGAAAAGACCCGCGCCUUUCCAGCCUGGACACCCUGUCAGGGGAGGAGAUCCCGCUCCACUUCCUGUUCCGCCUUGAUGGUUACAUCAUCCAUGUGGGUGGAGCCAUGCACUCCUUGUGUCUAGUCUGGGUCUGGUCUGGUGGUCUUCCUGUACGAGCGCAGCGGGAACUACCUCUGGCACGGCCCGCUGCGCCUCAGGGCCGACAUGGACCGGACCUUCGCCCCCUUCUCCCUGCUGGACUAUGGGCGCUAUGCUGGAGCGUACGACAGGCCAGAACUGAUCCUUACGGUCCUGGAUCGCCUCGAUGUUCGAGUUCCUCGCAACAUCACCCACUUUCUGGUGCAGCAGAGAGAUGCUCGCUUCUUGGAGUGCCGCUUCCACGAAGCUCGCCACUUCCUGCAGCUGUACCCCGACGACUCGUCUGCGGCGGCGCUGGACUUCCGAAGGAAAGCCAGGACUCUGCUUCGUGUAACAACACAAACACUUGGUCUGCUCCACAUCCCCUUCUGGAUCAGCAGUGGUACCUGCCUGGGAUGGUUCCGGCAGUGCGGCGUCAUCUCUUACAGUCAGGACGUGGACAUCGGGAUCUUCAUCUCAGACUUCAGGCCGGACAUCGUCGGCGCCUUCAGAGAAGCUGGCUUAAGCCUGAAGCACAAGUUUGGAAAGGUGGAAGACAGCCUGGAGCUUUCAUUUCUAAGCCAGGAUGUCAAACUGGACAUUUUCUUCUUCUAUGAGGACGGAGACGUGGUGUGGAACGGCGGCACGCAAGCCAAGAGCGGCAGAAAGUUUAAGUACACCUUCCCUCGCUUCUCUCUCUGCUGGGCGGAGCUUCUGGAGCUGAAAGUUCGCGUUCCCUGUGAGACGCAGGAUUACGUCGUGGCAAACUAUGGAUCCACGUGGAGCGUCCCUCUGAAGAACUGGGACUGGAAGUCCUCCCCCAGCAACGUGCAGGAAAACGGGGAAUGGCCUCGAGGCCAGUGGGCGGAGUUAAUUCAAGUAUACUAGAGGGAGGGGCUGACUGGGAGUUUUUAUUUUUAAUUUCUGAUGUAUGCAACCAUGUGACCUGCACUAAGUGUUGAACACAAACAGGAAGUGAUGUCAUCACUGGUUGAGUUCUCAUAGGCUAAUGCGCUCGUUUAGCUCUCAGAAUAAAGGAGCAGAAACCCCGCCUGCUGAGCUGAAGCUCCUCCCACCAGGAGUACAGAGGACCUUCAGAGAACGUCUGCAGGAGAACCUGACAGGAACAUGCUGGAUCUGAUGGGUUUCAUGUUCAAGAAAAUCCUGAUGUUAAUGUUCUAGGACAGCUCGUCCCUCACCUGUUCCUCAUGUUCUUUAAAUAGUCACCAAUAAAGAGCCAAAGUGUGCUGGAAGCUUAA